rnacentral:misc_RNA from 1 species
AACCAUAGAAACCUGCGGAGUACCUGCGGAGGGAUCAUUACGAGAGUGUCACCACUCCCAACCCAUUGUUUACCUACCCGUCCACCGUGCUUCGGCAGGCAGCCCUGUGGGACAGAGCCUCGCCCCCUUUCGCGGGGGGUGCCUGCCGCUUGCCAACCAAAACUCUAGCUGUUUUAGUACCAUCUGAGUCUUCCACAAAUGAACAAAACUUUCAACAACGGAUCUCAGAUCGGAAGAGCA